rnacentral:lncRNA from 10 species
GUAAACAGGGGCUUUAUUGGCUUAUAGACCUGGGCAGUCCAGGUGUAGAUCUGGUUCCAGACAAGGCUGAUUCAGAGACUCCACGUGGUCAAGGCUCUGUUGUUUGUCAAUCCCUUGGCUCCUCCACUUCCAGUUUGGCUUCUGUCCUCACAGUCUCUCUCCAUGUGGCAAACAAGAUGGCUACUGGUGGUCCCAGGUUCACGUCCUCUCAGCUUGGAAAUCCAGCAGCAAGAAGAUGUCUCACUCCCAAAGUCCAUAACUCAAUCCUUGGGAAGACUGUAGUUGGUCCUGCUAGGAACACGUAACUAUCCAACUAUCCUCCAGAUAGGGAGCUGGGGAGAUGGGAGAUGGGCUCCUCUGACAGGACACCCUGUGGUUCACGUCCACUCUUGUGGCCUGGGUAUAUUGGGAAUGCGGGGAUGAAGAAAGAAUUCACAGCCCCACAAGGUUCGUGUGGAAAAGGGGAGGAGUUUCCCAGAAGAGCCAUAAAAUUAAGAAAGCACUGCAAGCAAACAAAAACCAGUCAUUUAAGUUCUUGGCAGUAACAACAUAUUUAUACCUAGUGCUUCAUUUUGCUCUGGAAAAAAAGCAGAUCUGCUCUGCUGGGGCAAUUCUAAUGGCCUUUCCAGUGUGCUUUGAGAAAGUGGAGGGACUGCGUGGUAUUGCUGGGCUUCCCAUUUCAGGAGACCUGGGCCCAGCAGUUCUAUGACAUGAUGAUGAGCACUCUGGACCCAAACCAGACACCUGGCCAGUGUCCUGAUUCUGAGACUGAAGAGCCCUGUGAAUGUGGGCAAUGCCCUCCUGCUUUCUGGGGGUCAUGGGUGGGGAAUUAAAUAGAAGAUCAGCGCUUCCUUCUCAGCUCUUGCCUUAUGAGUUUUUUAUAACAUCAUUUCUCCUUUCUGGGUGUUAGUUUUCUCAUCUAUGUGAGGUAAGAAAUUAUCUCCAAGAUCUGUCCAACUUGAAAUAAAAAUGAAAACAAAACACCUCAAAUUCUGAUUCUUUUGGACCGUUUCCCAGCAUAGUUAACGAGCUCCCAGACCAGACACUUUACCUCCAUUCUCAGGCGCUGAGGAGGGUGGAGCAGGCCUGCAAUGCAUAUAGGGGAACAAAGGCCCAGAGACAGAGACGUGGGAACCAUGCAGUGUAAAAAAGCGGGAGGUACCAGAGACAGAGACGUGGGGCCCAUGCGGUGUAAAAAACCGGGAGGUACCUUCAGGACCCACAGCUGGGCCUCAGGGCCACAGCUGGGGUUUGGUGAACACUUCGCCUUGCACUUCAUACUUCAGUGCCCGCCAGUUCAGGACAUUAGGACUGAAGGGCCCGCCAAGAUAGAUGGUGUUAAUCUCAUCUGGUGACAGCACAAAGUCCCACAUGUUCACAUUUCCAAUACUCUUCCUCACCCUGGGCUUCCCAUCUACCCAGAACUCCACGAUCCCUGAGGCGGACUCCCAGCUUGUACAAAUGUGUACUGGAGCUACUGUGACUUCAGGAACCUCGAAUAAUAUUUCAGACCCACCCACUGUAAAACUGUAUCCUAUAUCCUUAGACCAAAAUAUGAGAAUCUCA